rnacentral:rRNA from 1 species
AUGAACGCUGGCGGCGUGCCUAAUACAUGCAAGUCGAUCGAACGGACGAGAAGCUUGCUUUUCUGAUGUUAGCGGCGGACGGGUGAGUAACACGUGGAUAACCUACCUAUAAGACUGGGAUAACUUCGGGAAACCGGAGCUAAUACCGGAUAAUAUUUUGAACCGCAUGGUUCAAAAGUGAAAGACGGUCUUGCUGUCACUUAUAGAUGGAUCCGCGCUGCAUUAGCUAGUUGGUAAGGUAACGGCUUACCAAGGCAACGAUGCAUAGCCGACCUGAGAGGGUGAUCGGCCACACUGGAACUGAGACACGGUCCAGACUCCUACGGGAGGCAGCAGUAGGGAAUCUUCCGCAAUGGGCGAAAGCCUGACGGAGCAACGCCGCGUGAGUGAUGAAGGUCUUCGGAUCGUAAAACUCUGUUAUUAGGGAAGAACAUAUGUGUAAGUAACUGUGCACAUCUUGACGGUACCUAAUCAGAAAGCCACGGCUAACUACGUG